rnacentral:ncRNA from 2 species
CUCGCGAGCUAGGGGAGCCCCGGCAGGGGGCUGAGAGGCCGCACGGCGCUUCAAAGAGGAAAGCGCGGCGUGGCGACCCUGUGAACCUGAUCCAGUUAAUGCUGGCGUAGGAAAGUUUCCCUCGAGAUUG